rnacentral:rRNA from 1 species
AUUGAACGCUGGCGGCAGGCUUAACACAUGCAAGUCGAACGAGUGGCGGACGGGUGAGUAAUGUAUGGGGAUCUGCCUGAUGGAGGGGGAUAACUACUGGAAAAGGUAGCUAAUACUGCAUACCAUCAGAUGAACCCAUAUGGGAUUAGCUUGUAGGUGAGGUAACGGCGCACCUAGGCGACGAUCCCUAGCUGGUCUGAGAGGAUGAUCGGCCACACUGGGACUGAGACACGGCCCAGACUCCUACGGGAGGCAGCAGUGGGGAAUAUUGCACAAUGGGCGCAAGUCUGAUGCAGCCAUGCCGCGUGUAUGAAGAAGGCCUUCGGGUUGUAAAGUACUUUCAGUAGGGAGGCGUUACCGACAGAAGAAGCACCGGCUAACUCCGUGCCAGCAGCCGCGGUAAUAC